rnacentral:lncRNA from 10 species
AAACUCUUGGACUCAAGCCAUCUCCUGCUUCGGCCUCCUAAAGUUUUGGGAUUACAGGCGUGAGCCACUGCGCAUGGUCAAUAAUGACUUUUAAUAUCUUACUAUACAUAGAAGAACUUAUUUUUUCGAUUGCUCUGUAGCGGGAGACAGAAAAAGGAAAAGUCGGAGAUGCUGCCAUUCCAGAGCGGGGGGACCUUGGGAAGGAGGCCUGGGAGGUCAGGAUUCUGGGCUGCACUGGCUUAAUGAGUAGGGAGGUCAAGCAGCCUGGAAAGGUGUGGGAUUCACUCCAGGGGUCUGGCCAAGUGGUUCCAAGCCAGGCAGUUCGUUUUCCUCUAACCCAGUCUCUCCAGUUUAGUUGUGUCUGUUAUCCUUCAGCCCCAUCUCCCCUCCCCUGGGGACGAAGGCGAAAAGAGUGAGGAGGCAUUGCCCAGGCCCCUGGUACCUGCCGCGGAGGGAGCGAAGCCGGCCUUGUGCGGUCUUCCCGCGCCCCUCCUCUCCAUCUAACCGUGGAACCGCCCUGCUCGGGAGCCCACUCCCCUGGAGGGCCGAGGGCGUCUUAGGCCAGAACAUGAGGAGGCUGGAUAAAUGGGAAUCGUCUCUCUCCAGUCGCAGCAAAGAGAAUUUACUUGCGUAGGACCCUAGGCAUUUCCUACGGGAAAAGAAGUGAAGACACGCCCGAGCUAGGCUGCCCCGCCCGCUCUACAGAAGGGGUGGUGCUGUCCGUGACCCCUCCCAACCCUCUCCACCCCGGAAUGGCCUGGCCUGCACGAGGUAAGCCGGGC